AGUGAACGCUGGCGGUAGGCCUAACACAUGCAAGUCGAACGGCAGCACAGGAGAGCUUGCUCUCUGGGUGGCGAGUGGCGGACGGGUGAGGAAUACAUCGGAAUCUACUUUUUCGUGGGGGAUAACGUAGGGAAACUUACGCUAAUACCGCAUACGACCUACGGGUGAAAGCAGGGGACCUUCGGGCCUUGCGCGAUUGAAUGAGCCGAUGUCGGAUUAGCUAGUUGGCGGGGUAAAGGCCCACCAAGGCGACGAUCCGUAGCUGGUCUGAGAGGAUGAUCAGCCACACUGGAACUGAGACGCGGUCCAGACUCCUACGGGAGGCAGCAGUGGGGAAUAUUGGACAAUGGGCGCAAGCCUGAUCCAGCCAUACCGCGUGGGUGAAGAAGGCCUUCGGGUUGUAAAGCCCUAUUGUUGGGAAAGAAAUCCAGCUGGCUAAUACCCGGUUGGGAUGACGGUACCCAAAGAAUAAGCACCGGCUAACUUCGUGCCAGCAGCCGCGGUAA
rnacentral:rRNA from 1 species